GACGAACGCUGGCGGCGUGCUUAACACAUGCCAGUCGAACGGAAAGUCCCUUCUUUUGUGGGGUGCUCGAGUGUCGAACGGGUGAGUAACACGUUAGUAACCUGCCCUUGACUUUGGGAUAACUUCAGUAAACUGUGGCUAAUACCGGAUAGGAGCUCCUGCUGCAUGGUGGGGGUUGGAAAGUUUCGGCGGUUGGGGAUGGACUCGCGGCUUAUCAGCUUGUUGGUGGGGUAGUGGCUUACCAAGGCUUUGACGGGUAGCCGGCCGGAGAGGGUGACCGGCAACAUUGGGAGGGAGGAGAGGCCGAGACGAAUACGGGAGGAAGCAGUGGGGAAGAAUGAAAAGUGGGGGGAGGAAGGAUGCAGGAACAACGCGGGGGGGAUGAAGACGUCCGGGUGGUAAACAGCUUUCGCCUGCGAAGAAGAAGGAGUGACGGUAAUGGGUAAAGAAGCACCGGCUAACUCCGUG
rnacentral:rRNA from 1 species